GGCGUGCCUAAUACAUGCAAGUCGAACGGGGGUACACAUUCGUAAGGAUGAGUAUUCCAGUGGCAGACGGGUGAGUAACACGUAGUUGACCUACCCUGAAGAGGGGGAUAACGUUCCGAAAGGGAUGCUAAUACUCCAUAAGCACACAGAGGUUAGAGGCUCUGGGUGAAAAAGGUAACAUCGCAAGAUGUUAUCCGCUUGAGGAGGGGACUGCGGCCCAUCAGCUAGUUGGUGAGGUAGAAGCCCACCAAGGCGAAGACGGGUAGGGGGCCUGAGAGGGUGGUCCCCCACACGGGCACUGAGAGACGGGCCCGACUCCUACGGGAGGCAGCAGUAAGGGAUAUUGCACAAUGGGCGCAAGCCUGAUGCAGCAACGCCGCGUGCACGAGGAAGGCCUUCGGGUCGUAAAGUGCUUUUCUGGGAGACGAGGAAGGACGGUACCCCAGGAAUAAGUGUCGGCUAACUACGUGCCAGCAGCCACGGUAAAACGUAGGGCGCGAGCGUUAUCCGGAGUUACUGGGCGUAAAGGGCGGGUAGGCGGUCGGUCAAGUUGGAUGUGAAAUCUCCUGGCUAAACUGGGAGGGUGCAUUCGAAACUGACCGGCUAGAGGACAGCAGAGGGUCGCGGAAUUCCGGGUGGAGUGGUGAAAUGCGUAGAGAUCCGGAGGAACACCAGAGGCGAAAGCGGCGACCUGGGCUGUAACUGACGCUGAACCGCGAAAGCCAGGGGAGCGAACGGGAUUAGAAACCCCGGUAGUCCUAGCCGUAAACGAUGGGCACUUGGUGUUGGGGGUAUUGAGUCCCUCGGUGCCGGAGUUAACACGUUAAGUGCCCCGCCUGGGGAGUACGGUCGCAAGACUGAAACUCAAAUGAAUUGACGG
rnacentral:rRNA from 1 species